rnacentral:tRNA from 1 species
CCUGGUUGUCCAGUGGUUAGGACUCUGCACUUCCGCUGCUGAGGGUGAGGGUUCUAUCCUUCCCUGG